UUAACUAAAAUUUGUAUGGAGUUAGAACAGCGCCCCUAGCGGCAAACGAAUCGAGCUGUUCCAACUCCAUACAAAUUUGAGUUA
rnacentral:pre_miRNA from 1 species